AGAACCUAAAAGAAAGGUGGAAGUAGUGACGGAAGUGACUAAGUACGACGCUGUUUUCGAUGGGCAAGCUGUUGAUCCAGUGACCGGAAGGUUGUACAAGUUCAACACCGCGACGGGGGCCAGGAAAUGGAAGGAAGACAAAGAACCAGAGGCGAUAAAAGAGAACACAGCGCCAACGGAGAUUGUCCAGCCUGUAAAACCCCCUUCGCCAAAGUAAAGAGAAAUGAUUACACAGAGUGAGAAGGGGCGUUACAAAUAAGUGUGUUUCUUUGUACUGAAUCAACAUUUGAAUGCUUGUUAGAGAGUUUGGUGAACAAUUUACAAUCAGAAUGUAGAACAUAGAACAAUACAGCACAGGCAGACACAACAUGCUGGAGUAACUCAGC